GCCCAGGUGGUGGAACUGGUAGACACGCUGGUCUUAGGAACCAGUGCCUCACGGCGUGAAGGUUCGAGUCCUUUCCUGGGCACCA
rnacentral:tRNA from 1 species